CCAGGGGCAACUCCAUGUUCACAGAAGAAUAGGAAGAAGAGGAAGAGGAGCAAGGAUGCGUGGUGGUGGUGUACUGAGUGGAAGAAAGCAGUCUAGAGGAAGAGGCAGAAGCGUACAAAGACAUGGAGCUGUCCCAGCUGGAGCCCCGAGCCUUUGAAUGUUGAUGGCGGAGGAAUCAGUGGAUACCAUGGAUAAGAGCUCAGGAGGAGGGGCAAGAAAGAUGGAGUGGAGAAGCAGAUGAGAGGGCGGGGUGGAGGAGAAGUAAAAGAUGAGAGGGCAUGCUCACAAUACAGUACAGAGAGGCUGGAACAGGCAGAGCACUCAGUCUUCAGAGAUACUGACCAUGAUAACAUACUGCAGCUCAUCAAGGAGUGCUUUCUAACAGGAAGUGCUGAGUAACAGGUCACACCACACUGGCACUUUUACUGCCACUGACGACAUCAGAGUGCAACUCCAGGACAGGAUGUGACUGAAUAUGCGGCAAACUUAGUCAGGGAGAUUUCUGGGGCCGAUGAGUGUGUGUGUGUGUGUGUGUGUGCACGUGAUGGGCAGAGCUGUGGUGCAGGACUACAGGGCACACAAGCUUAUUAUUGUCUCCUGAACCCGCUUGCUUGAUCAAAGGGAGAGCGAGCUACCUCACACUGACUCAGUCUGACACACACACGCACGCACACACACACACACACAGUGUUCCAUUUCAGCCUGUAUUACACCAUCUGCUGACUAUUGAUUAUGAUUCUUGCUGAUUAAUUCUCUAAUGCUUCUGGAGUGAUUUAAGGUUUUUUCCGGAGAUGGGAGUUACAGCACUGCUUGCCUUUUGAAAGUGUUUCAUUAGUUGAUUAAAGGAACAGUCUGCCCAAAGUUAAAGUCCCAGUCAGCAAUAACCAGAACAGCAGACAUUCCAGGAUCAAGUCCAGCACUGCGUUCCAUAACUGUCUUGAACAAGUGCUCAUUAAUGUUCCCACCUCUGUACGCGCAUAGUUGAGUACCAGCUGUCAUAUAAGUGGCCACUGGCAGCACUGAGAGUGGAAUCAUUAACAUUUCUGUAAUAUUAAAUAUUUUAUUAUGCAUGAAUGCAUUCGUAAAUAGAUACUACUACUAGAUUCACAAAUCUUUCUAAUGUUAUGAUGAGUUGAUCUGUGGAUUAACUGACCACUUUUUCUUACUUGUGUUCAUAAGGAAACAUCUAUAACAUGUAACACACUAAAGUCUUCUUGGUAUAAAAUAAACGAGUAUGCACAAUUUUGCACAAUUAAAUUGUACAGUUUUGCAGCUGUAGUCCUA